rnacentral:lncRNA from 1 species
AUGCUGGCAGUGGUAGGUCACCCAGGAUCCUCACAGGACUGGGGCAGAGGGUGGACGGGCUCUCCCUCCUCCAUUGAGGACUCCGCCCUAGUGGUGGGUUACUCCUCCUCUCUCCCCAGCCCUCUCCCUGCACAGCACUCCUCCUCUCCCUGCACUCCACUCCUCCUCUCUCCCCCCCUCUUCUCCAAACUUCGGCCACCCUGGGUGACCUGGCCAGCAAGUCCCCAGGCCAGGUGUGCAAUGCUAGGAGUGGAGGGCAAUCCGCAGGUACCCUGGAGGAUUGGAAGGGGGGGAGCAGAAGAGCAAAGGAAAGGAAGUGGAGGGGAAGGGGUAGGAGGGAGGAGGGAGAAGGAGGUGGAGGAGAGGAAGGAGGAGGGGAGAGGAGAGAAAGAGGUCGGAUGGAAAAGUAGAGGGGGAGAGGAAGGGAGAGGGUGGAGGGAGAGGAGGGGAAGGGAGGGGGAGAGAACGGAGGAGGGGGGAGGGGAGGGGGAGGGGUGGGGGGCUGAAAUCUCCCGCAACAUCAAAGCCUUCCCAGCCGCAGAGCACAGUCACGUGCCAGCGGCCUCGUCGCUCAUUCCUUCGCUGGGAGAAGCCGCUGGGCCUGGGGCUGCUGAAGGAAUUUUAAAACGAGGCAGAUUGCCUGGAAUAUUGGGGGGCGGGGGGCAGGCAGCAGAGAGCUUCAUCUCCUGGCGGGUUUUGAAGCCUUUCCCUCCCAGAAGCAUGUUGGGGCACAGGGGGCCCCUGGUCAGCGCCGGGCAGGUGGCCAAGAGCGAGGACCACCCAGCUACUUGGAGCCCACUGGUGGGAGGCUUGGGCAGGGCCAGCCCCCUUAUCAGGAGAAGCUGGAAAUCUGGAUUUUAUGGAAAGCUUCCCCUUUUCAAUACUGGCUUAAGUGGGGGAAAAAAGAGCGAAAGAGAGAGAGAGAGAGAGAGAGAGAGAGAAAGAAAAGAGAAAAAAAGGCAAAGCAAAAACCACCACAUGGGCCAGACACAGCGUGUCCUGAUUUGGACCUAG